UACGGAGGGUGCGAGCGUUGUCCGGAAUCACUGGGCGUAAAGGGCGCGUAGGCGGCCUGAUAAGUAGGGGGUGAAAUCUCGAGGCUCAACUUCGAGCUGUCGGUGGAAACUGUCUGGCUAGAGUCCGGAAGAGGAGAAUGGAAUUCCUGGUGUAGCGGUGAAAUGCGCAGAUAUCAGGAAGAACACCAGUGGCGAAGGCGGCUUUCUGGUCUGUAACUGACGCUGAGGCGCGAAAGCGUGGGGAGCAAACAGG
rnacentral:rRNA from 1 species